rnacentral:rRNA from 1 species
AUUGAACGCUGGCGGCAGGCCUAACACAUGCAAGUCGAGCGAGCGGCGGACGGGUGAGUAAUGUCUGGGAAACUGCCUGAUGGAGGGGGAUAACUACUGGAAACGGUAGCUAAUACCGCAUUCCAUCAGGUGUGGCGCGUGGGGAUUAGCUAGUGGGUGGGGUAACGGCUCACCUAGGCGACGAUCCCUAGCUGGUCUGCGAGGAUGAUCAGCCACACGGGAACGGAGACACGGUCCAGCCUCCUACGGGAGGCAGGAGUGGGGAAUAUUGCACAAUGGGCGCAAGCCGGAUGGAGCCAUGCCGCGUGUAUGAAGAAGGGCUUCGGGUUGUAGAGUACUUUCAGCGUGUAGGCGUUACCCGCAGAAGAAGCACCGGCUAACUACGUGCCAGCAGCCGCGGUAAUUC